rnacentral:lncRNA from 1 species
GUGGGGUUAUUCCGAAGGAAAAGGGGGCUGUGGAAAAGGGAAGAGUCAAGCCAAGGACUGGAGUCCGGUAACCGUAGGGCAAUAAUUCCUCGCCCCCUCCCCCAACCACACUCUCUUCAAACCCAGCUCCCUCAGAUCAAAAAACGCAAAAGGCUUUGGUGCCCUGCAAUCCUAUCUGCGCCACAAGAGCCGGAACCAGCUCCGCGGAUUACAUUCAUAGAGAAGAGGAAAUACACAGAAACUACCUGAUUGGCUGCAAUUACUGUUUGCCUAAUAUGAGCAGAAUACAAGAGGCAUUCAUCUUAUACGGACAAGAUCUCAUCAGUUGGCAGGCUGUGACUGAAGCUCAACAUCUGUUUAAUUGGCUGAUCCUCACCUGCAACAAGACUAUACCUGCAGCUCCUGCCUCCAAGUUCCUGCCCUGUUUGAGUUCCUGUCCUGACUUCCUUUAAUGAUGAACAGUGAUGUGGAAGUGUAAGCCAAAUAAACCCUUUUCUCCCC